rnacentral:sRNA from 1 species
AGCAGUUUAAAGUAGUAAGCAUCAAGUAUCUCCAUUUUAGUGGGUAUGAAUUCAGGAGAAACUUAGCUGGUGGCUUGGGUUCAGGGUCUCAGAGAUCAAUUCAUCUCAUGGUGUGGUGGGUAGCAGGCAGAACUUGAUCACCUAGCAUUUGGAGAUGCUGCUCUCACAAAAGGGCCAGAUCUUAGUGCAAAUGAAGAGGAGCUGGUAUACGUCAGUUACAUAAAAUAGAUGGAGGUGGAGUUGGUGACAGGUGUGAUAAACAGCACGGAGGAUGCAGAGCGUUUGCCACAGCCUGCUGCACUGAAGACCAAGGCAGCAAGAGUGCUGUUAGGAGGGAGAUGAUGCACACCUUCUCACAUUCGAGAUUGUUUCCAGUGGACAAGCAGUGCCGCUGGGUUAGAAGCCUGUGAGUCUGAGUGUGUCAGAGGCAAGGUACUCUUCAAUGGAUGGCUUUUUCCUCUUCACGGUGCGCUUGUGAGACCUAAUGGAACAGGCAGUGGAGAGCUGCAAUCUUGAUGCUCAUGGAGGUCAACGGUGGUGUCUGCGGAUCCAUUCAAUCCCAUCAUCCUCCUACUCAUACAGCAGAUACCCCACAAAGCUUAGGAAGCAGAGCAACUUUUCGCCAGUAAGGCUUUCCCUACAACGACACAGGCCAUUCGACACAGGCCAUUCGCUUCUUCGCAUACACUUGGAAGGCUUAGCAGCUCUUCUCUUGCCUCCGUGGACGUCAUGGUUCUGGCACACUUCCCUCCACCCCACCAACACACAGACACACAGACUUUGACCACACACUCUCACACCAGAAGAGUCAGAAAAUACACGAAGGAAAAAAAAUCUAAUAAUACUUACUUGAGGUUUUUUAAACUCCUUGGGGGUAGAUAGAUACAAGGCAGUAAACCAGCAUAAGGAAAGAAAAACAGUUUUUGUUGUUUUUUUUUAAAAAGCUAAUAAAAAAAAUCCCAUAGGAAGGAAA